ACUCAAUAGAUACCCGGGUAGUCCACGCCCUAAACGAUGUCAACUAGCUGUUGGGGUUUAUUAACCUUAGUAGCGCAGCUAAACGCGUGAAGUUGACCGCCUGGGGAGUACGGUCGCAAGAUUAAAACUCAAAGGAAUUGACGGGGACCCGCACAAGCGGUGGAUGAUGUGGAUUAAUUCGAUGCAACGCGAAAAACCUUACCUACCCUUGACAUGUCUGGAAUCCCGAAGAGAUUGGGAGUGCUCGCAAGAGAACCGGAACACAGGUGCUGCAUGGCUGUCGUCAGCUCGUGUCGUGAGAUGUUGGGUUAAGUCCCGCAACGAGCGCAACCCUUGCCAUUAGUUGCUACAUUCAGUUGGGCACUCUAAUGGGACUGCCGGUGACAAACCGGAGGAAGGUGGGGAUGACGUCAAGUCCUCAUGGCCCUUAUGGGUAGGGCUUCACACGUCAUACAAUGGUCGGGACAGAGGGUUGCCAAGCCGCGAGGUGGAGCCAAUCUCAGAAACCCGAUCGUAGUCCGGAUCGCAGUCUGCAAC
rnacentral:rRNA from 1 species